GAUGUAAGUAGUGCACGAGCUAUGAGAGGCCAUAAUCUACCACAUUCUUCUGGCUCAACUCAUGCCCCGAGUCUUGAAAAGGAAAAUACGGGUGAUGCAAUUGGAAAUGGUGGCCACAAAUCAAUUUGAUUCAUUAAAGUGAAUGGUGAACACCUUUUGAACAAUUGUGAUAUUUAUUUUUAUUUUAUAUUGAUACUAUAAAUAUGAAUACAUUUGAUUUUGUAGAGGUCUUUGCUAGUGAACUUCUUGAACCAACAGUGCUUUAUUACUAUAGAUAGUACGCAAAGUAUGUUUCUAAUUUGUUGAAGUUUAUUUCAAGUAUAUGCAUUUGAAUUA